UCCUUGUUAGUACAAUGGCUAGUAUAGGGCACUCUCACCUCCAUCGUCUUCUGACUGCUCAGAUCGGGGUUCAAUUCCCCGGCAGGGAA